rnacentral:rRNA from 1 species
UACGGAGGGUGCAAGCGUUAUCCGGAUUCACUGGGUUUAAAGGGUGCGUAGGUGGGCUUGUAAGUCAGUGGUGAAAUCUCCGGGCUUAACCCGGAAACUGCCAUUGAUACUAUAGGUCUUGAAUCAUCUGGAGGUGAGCGGAAUAUGUCAUGUAGCGGUGAAAUGCUUAGAGAUGACAUAGAACACCUAUUGCGAAGGCAGCUUACUACGCAGAUAUUGACGCUCAUGCACGAAAGCGUGGGGAUCAAACAGG